GUUGGGCAAAGGUAUUGGUUUGUAAAGAGCAAAGCCAUUAAGAUAUAAAAUAUUGGCAAGCUUAGUUUAACAAUAAGCUGACGAAUAUACAAAACCUAAUGUAGCAGCAGAUGUUCUCCAAGAUAAGCUUGUGACCAGCUUUUUUGUGUUCUGUGUGAUCAUUGUAGUGUCAAAUUUUUCAUUUUUAUUUCAGGACUGCGGCUGCAGUCGUUUCAUUGCCAAAUGUGAGGAUGAAGCAGCUUCAUGGCCGGAGAUCGGGCGCCUCCCAUCAGUUUCCCUUUUCAGCAAUAGAGGCCUUGGAGGCCUUUCUACCUGCGUUGCAUCCUGUGGCUGGACCACUCCAACGAUCUCGGCAGAAUCGUUACACAGGAAGAAGUCUGGCUGGCCCCAAGCCUGGUUCAAAAUGAAGAAAUGGCACUCCACAUCAAUUCAUGUUUACUUGUCGUCAUAACCAGUCUGUUAGCUUAAUUUUUGGUUCUUCCUAUUGAAUUCUCAAGAAAGGUACCAACUCUAUCAUUCAUUGAAAACAAAUUUUUGCACUUGGGGAUGCAGCCAUGCACAAAGCCUUUGAGCUCAUUAAUAUCUUUAUUUUUUAAAGAAAGUGCAGCUCCUGCGUGGAGCAAUAGGUUGAAUAAGAUGAGGGUAAAUGAAAAGAUGGCAAAAUUAGUCAUCAACAGUUGUCCAAAAAAGGAAGUCUCAAGCUGGAGGCAACAUCUUUGCAAGAGAACCAAAUGGCUCCAGCCUGAGACAUUCGUUGUUCAACCUGGCAAGUCUCCUUCUCGAAAUAUUUCCUCUAGCCUGAGACCUAUAUCCAUUCCACCACCCUUGACCAACAAUACACCUAUACAUUUGGCAACCCAUGGAAAGGUAGCAAAUUCACAUUCAAGGAAAGGGAAUGUAGUGUGCACCCUGGAAGGUAGCAUGAACAGUAUUUUAUUUACUUAAUGAAAUGCAGAUUUGCUAUCCAUUUACUUUAUUUUGAUCCCCGUUUUAUAAUUGGACAGCAUGGUUCCUCAGAGAGAAUAAUUCGAAGCUCACACAAUAUCGCUCCUUUAUGUCCGUUAAAUCUGUCCUGGUUGCUACACUAUCAGCCCUGUCUGCAAUUGCAUAGCAGUGUUUUGAGCAUGCAUCCGAAUUCAAAAGAAUAGUUAGGCUUCUACCUCAGAAUGUUUGCUACUGUGUUGCAGCUCGAAUUCUAUGUCUAGGUGGUCACUGUGAUGCCAUGUGCUUUUUAAAUAAGACCAAUAUGCUAUUUGAAGGGCAAUUAAAUGCAAUCUCAAAUGACCUCAGCUCGGGGAAUGACACAAUUGGAGGUCAAUGUGAUGAGGAGGAUUUGAUUUCUGAAAACAAGGCACUUAAACGGGAGAAAGCAUGACUAAUUUCGUAUAAAAAUGCUGCUUUUGGAUAUGAUCAGGGAAGGUACUUGUUCGUGGCUGCAUUUGCAACAUGUUACAUUGCUGGCUUUAUAUAUUGCACUGGGUACAGUGAAAUGUUGCUGCUUGCACAAUAUUCAACUAAACAUGGUAGCCAUGCUAAUGUGUCCAUGCAGAACACAACUCAUCCACUAUUAUGGACUACAGUGGAAUCUCGAUAAACGAAAAUCGCUUCGAAACUGCCGCUUAAAUAGGACACCAUCCUGAUAAUUGGUUGGCUCUCUGCAAUGUCUCUCAGUAAAUAUAAUGCCUGGUAAAUGGAACCAAUUUCCCUGGCACCUUGAGGCUCCAUUUAAAGAGCACCCACUGUAAAAAUAUAGGGGGGAUCGUGUUUGGAACUUUCGUAAAUGUAGUCCUAAAUAAAACCGCAUUUCAGUGGGAGCGAAAUGCAAAAGCACCCGUGUACUUAGACAGGUGCAUGGUAAAGAACCCCAGGUUGUCCAAAUUAUUUCGGGGUUACUCGCUAUGGCAUGUGUCAUAAUCAGAAGGUGGGUUCUGGUUCCUAAAUUGCAAUAAUUUUUAAUAGCUUGCUCAGAAAUCCAGCACUAAAUUAUGUAGCUUGUUUGUGUGAUGAGUCCCAAUUUCUUAAUUUAGUUCUUUGACAUUUAUCAUAUUUGUGUGCUAGUCCAUGCAAAAUACCACUGAUCGGCCUCAUUAUACCAGCCACUGUUAAUUAGGAAUGGCUUAGUCAAGCAACUUGAACUUACAGCACAAACACCUAAGACGAACCACAAAAGGAAGAUACGACACACACUGGUGCUAGCAACUUCUUUAUUUCUUCGUCGUCGAUGCAAUAUAAACCCUAGGCCACACUACCGCGCAGGCACUCAGAUUACAUUACAGAGAUCUGCCAAAUUAUCACAUACGCAAGCGUAGGAAGUCAAAUUCAGAUGGAUGCAGGGACAAAGAUAUCUUACUAAUGCAAUUAUCGCCCUGCCUUUCUUGUGGUAAGCCUCUAAGGCAAGCCGCACAUGCUCAAAAAUGUAGAUAGAAGACUGCACAUUGUUGCGCAUAUAAACUCUUGCAAAAAUUGUGAGGCACGACUUGAUGGGACGUCGAUUCUUGGCAAAAGCAUGAAUGAGCUUGCGCGGCUUGCCUUAGAGGCCUACCACAUAAAAAGGCAAAAUGAUAAUUGCAUCAGUGACAUAGCUUUGUCCCUGCACCCAUCUGAAUUUGAGUUCCUACGUUUGCAUAUGUGAUAAUUUGGGAGAUCUCUGUAAUGUAAUGUGUGCGCCUGUGCAGUUGUGUGGCCUAGGGCAUAUAUAUGCAUCGACAACGAAGAAAUAAAGAAGUUGUCAGUUAGCGCCAGCGUGUGUCGUAUCUGCCUUUUGCGGUUCGUCUUAGGUGUUUGCGCUGUAAGUUUUAAGUUCAGAAUUAUGUACCAACUAGGCCAAAUUAAGUUUUACUCUUAGUCAAGCGAGCUCAAUAUAUAGUCUGCAAAAGUGUGGAGUGUCAGUACAAAGUAACAGUUCAAACACAUGGCUGUGUAGUUACAGUUCAGUAUGAAAGGAGAUAAGAUUUCUUAGCAUUUCUUUCAUUUACUAAUUUCAUUGUGUUAGGACAUGUAGAAUACUAGCAACUGGCAUGCUUACAAUGUACAGUGCUCUUUAUUAAAAUCCAGACAAUUGUUUUACUGGGGCAGAAAUGUGCUUUCUUUUGGGCCCGGAAGUGAACAUAUUAUAUUUCUUACAUUUGGUGUAAAAUAAAUUUUAUUCACUGUCA